GAAUUUAUUCCUAGUGAAAGGGAUUGGUAAAGACAAAAGGCUGUGGCAGGACAAAACUACAGAAGAAGUUGCCCAGGCACUAUCAGCAUCUACCAGAGACAAUAUAGCAGAUUUCACCCAUUUCAAGCCAUUCAGAACUUGAAACAAUGCUUUCAUGCUGCUUUCAUUUUGCUCCCUCUGUGCAUAGGAUAGCAAAAAGCAAAAUAUCGAUCAGGCAACUCUCCUAGAUUGUUUCAGAAAACGUUCCACUUCUCCACCCCACAAGGAUUCCAGAGGUCAUGCUUGCUGAUACAGAGUUCCAGAAGCCAUGCUUGCUUGACCUGAAGACUCAAGAGAUAAGCCUGUUCUUGUUAGACAAGCUAUACCCAGUUGGUAGAAGAGCAGGAGAAGUCCUGGGCUGACAACCAGCCACCUGUGGUGCAAGACAAUAGGCCACAGACCCUGCAGCUUCUCCUGAAGAUCAAAGACUCACUCCUGUCGAACUACUUUUGAAAUCCUUGCUGACUAAACAGACUUUUCGCCCUUAUGUCUACUGUCGAGUUUAUGUGAUAAGCUUGAUUGUUUUUGUUGUUUCAUUUCUGCUGCCUGCUAUAAAAACUCAUCUAACCCUAAGUAAAGUACGCUUUGAUACAUA